UACGUAGGUGGCAAGCGUUGUCCGGAUUUACUGGGCGUAAAGAGCGCGCAGGCGGUCGUUCAAGUCGCGUGUGAAAGCCCCCGGCUCAACUGGGGAGGGUCACGCGAUACUGAUCGACUCGAAGGCAGGAGAGGGAAGUGGAAUUCCCGGUGUAGUGGUGAAAUGCGUAGAUAUCGGGAGGAACACCAGUGGCGAAGGCGACUGACUGGACAAGUAUUGACGCUGAGGUGCGGAAGCGUGGGGAGCAAACAGG
rnacentral:rRNA from 1 species